rnacentral:rRNA from 1 species
UACGUAGGGGGCGAGCGUUGUCCGGAUUUAUUGGGCGUAAAGAGCGUGUAGGCGGUUUGGUAGGUCCGUUGUGAAAACUCGAGGCUCAACCUCGAGACGCCGGCGGAAACCAUCAGGCUAGAGUCCGGAAGAGGAGAGUGGAAUUCCUGGUGUAGCGGUGAAAUGCGCAGAUAUCAGGAAGAACACCCGUGGCUAAGGCGGCUCUCUAGUACGGUACUGACGCUGAGACGCGAAAGCGUGGGGAGCGAACAGG